rnacentral:rRNA from 1 species
GACGAACCGUGCGAACGUUAUUCGGAAUCACUGGGCUUAAAGCGCGUGUAGGCGGGACGGCGCGUCGGCCGCUGAAAUCCCCCGGCUCAACCGGGGAAGGGGCGCCGAUACGGCCGUCCUGGAGCGACGUAGGGGGGGCUGGAACUUCCGGUGGAGCGGUGAAAUGCGUUGAGAUCGGAAGGAACGCCCGUGGCGAAAGCGAGCCCCUGGACGUCGGCUGACGCUGAGACGCGAAAGCCAGGGGAGCGAACGGG